GACCUCCCAGGAUCGCACCUGGAGAAUAGCUCGUAUUCUGCCAGCUUGGGAGACGGGAGGGAAAACAAGCCUGUCAGAGACCCAUUCCACUUCCAGUUUGCUCAGUAGCUGGUGAUUGGAAGAGACUCUGUGACAGUG
rnacentral:snoRNA from 1 species